AGCACUUAGCACAAUGUCUGGUACAUAAUAGGUGCUUAAUAAAUGCUUAUUCCCUUCCCUUCCCAUCCUUUCUCCAAAAAUGCUGUGACUAACUGUCCUGCAUGAUUAUUUAGUUGUGAACAUCCUUAGAAUACAGUUCCAUGUCCUUUUUAUGCACUUAUUAUGCAUGAAACCAAUCUUUUUUGGUUUGUUUGAGGCUACUGAUAGACCUGUGGUGGUACAUCACUCAGGCUGUACUUCUGUUUAAAAUGCGUCAUUCUAUUUCUCAGCACUGGCUCUUCCAUUUGCUACUGUUUCUGAGCUGUCCACAACUAUGCUGGAUCAUUUGAAGUUGUACUGAAGUACAAUUUGCGUUUCUUUUGACCACCCUGCUUCCUUCUGUCCCAAUUGAAUUCCCAAUAUAGCAGCUGCCUGUGUAUCCUACUGUAUGGCAUGAUGAAGUAAAUUGGAGUUCUAAAAACAGAUGUACUGAAGUGCUUCAAGAAGAAAGAUUCUAUCUGAAGGAGGCAUAGUAUAGCCUAAAGUCAGACCCAUGUGGCAAUGCUAAUACUUGGAGUGUCAUUUGUAAAAUCCAAGGCCAGUUGGAAUUUCCAUCAUCCCUACUAUGUAGAAGCCCCAUGCUGUGGUGGACAAAGAUCUGUCCUUAGAGUCAAGAAGAACUGGCUUCAAGUCCUUCCUCUGACACAUCCUGGCUUUGUGAUCCUAGUUUUCUGGAAAUGUAUGUAUAGCUGGGAGUCAUUCGAUACUAUGCUCACUGAAGAAUUGAAGUUGAGAUCACACAAAGAGCAAUUAAGAGGUGCCUGGUGAACACGAACAGGUUGUAAAGCCUUAUAAACAAGGAAUUACAAAGGAAGAGCAGCAUAAAUAAUGUCAUCAAAGAAAUUCACAAAGGAAAGAAAAAAUGGCCAAGAGUGGAGGAUAACCAAUGAGCUGCCUGCAUACUCCAUUGCUUUUCCUGCAAUAUCAGAACUAGAGAAAGGCCCCCAGCAUGGUGGAUAGACAUGUUCCUGAAAAACUUAUGACAGAGCAUGAAUAAGUCUCACAGGAGGGACAGCUUCAGCCUGCCUUGGAUGAAGUGAAGUUUGUUUCUAUCACAAUUCCCAAGCAAGAGAGGGAUGUUCUGUUUCCUAAUUCCAGAGAUUUUUCGCCCUUUGGAUUAAAUGCAUUUCUGACUAUGCUUCCAAAUUUACACCCCUGGAGAAAAAAGAAAGGCUUCUUCUCAGAGUGACAAAACAGCAACGAUUUAUAUCAAACGAGCAAUAGAAAAGGCAAAUGGAAAGAUACAGUGGAUGAUAAAAAGGUGUUAGAGUAAAUAUAAGGGUCUCUGCUCUGGGCUGAUGGUGAUUUGGAAGUGAAGACACAGUCAUGUGAGUUUUAAAGCCACCAAUCAUUAUCAAGAGAAGAAUGAAGUUCAAUGCCUGACAAGAAGAUGUGCUCUGAAGCAGCAUAAUAUUCAAUUUACUUCCAAGGCUACUGAUUUAGGAAGCAAAAAGAGAAUAAGUGGAAUAAUUAAUUUCCUACCUUGAAGUUUUACUUUCUUUGUAUCCAGUGUCAUUGGGAUCCACCUCUGGGCAGAAGCUGAGAAGCUGGUCGAUGCAAACAAAACCUAUUCAGAGUGUUUCUGACUUCAUUGAAAGCAAAUUUUAAAAUG